rnacentral:rRNA from 1 species
AGCAGCCGCGGUAAUUCCAGCUCCAAUAGCGUAUAUUAAAGUUGUUGCAGUUAAAAAGCUCGUAGUUGAAUUUCGGGAUCAGUACGCUGGUCAUGCCUUUGGUAUGCACUGGUGUCACUGGUUUCUCCCUUCUGAAGAUCCGUGAUGUCAUUAAUUUGGUGUCGCGGGGAAUCAGGACUGUUACUUUGAAAAAUUAGAGUGUUUAAAGCAGGCUCACGCUUGAAUACAUUAGCAUGGAAUAAUGAAAUAGGACGUUUGACCCUAUUUUGUUGGUUUCUAGGAUCGACGUAACGAUUGAUAGGGAUAGUUGGGGCAUUAGUAUUCAAUUGUCAGAGGUGAAAUUCUUGGAUUUAUUGAAGACUAACUACUUGCGAAAGCAUUUGCCAAGGAUGUUUUCAUUAAUCAAGAACGAAAGUUAGGGGAUCGAAGACGAUCAGAUACCGUCGUAGUCUUAACCAAUAAACUAUGCCGACUAGGGAUCGGAUGAUGUUAAUUUUAUAA